AUCCAGUGACGAGUCCAAAAUAGGACGAAAUGCGCAUCCUGGAU
rnacentral:hammerhead_ribozyme from 1 species